AUGACUCCAUGGAAACUCAUGUUGCUAGCACUGAGUCUGGACAUCGGAAUGCCCAUCCCUUUUAACGUCUCAGCAUAUAAUAUGUUCAAACCAUUGCCACCAUCCAUCAAGACUUUGGUCAGUCGAGUGCCUUCAACCACUGGGUCGACCACCAGAGCUUGCCAUAUUCACCUCAGGGGUGGCAAUAUGCGUUGGGUGAUCGGACUGGUCGAACGUGAUGGCAGUCUGAGACCAUUUCAAAUAACUUGGUGUUGUCGGAGCAACCAUAUUCACCUCUCGGUUGAUGACUUUCAGUCGACUUUUGCUCUCAACAUCAGCAAAAAUCAUUAG
rnacentral:rRNA from 1 species